CAUUAUUUAGACACGUGCCUGUUUUUCUUUGAUAUGCCGAAAAUCAAUGAACCGAUUGACACGUGCCAAAUAACAUAACAACAGUUACCGAUUAAACAAUCAUGAUCUUUUUAUUUUAAGUAAUUAACAAUUGUAUCGAAAAGAUUUAUGCUUAAUAUAUAUAAUUAAACGUCUUGUUUUUAUUUAAAAUGAUUUAAAUGCCAAAUAAGUUUGCUUUAUUUAUUUCCCGACAAAGCUAUUUGCCAUAGGUGCACAACUUUGAUGUGCGCCAACCAAUAAGUUAAAGUGUGGUCAGUUUGUUAAAAUGUUUAUGUAAGAGACACGAAGACUAAAAAGGAAUAAAUAUAUUUAUAAGUGUUUUGUUUUUAUUUUAAUUCAGACAAAGUUGCGAGUAUGUGAC
rnacentral:lncRNA from 1 species